rnacentral:snRNA from 1 species
GCCUCGAUGAGUAGGAGG